CUGGGUUGGAUGAGUGGCGAACGGGUGAGUAACACGUGAGUAACCUGCCCUCUUCUUUGGGAUAACGGUCGGAAACGGCUGCUAAUACCGGGUAUUCACUGUCCUUCGCAUGGGGGGUGGUGGAAAGGUUUUUUCUGGUGGGGGAUGGGCUCGCGGCCUAUCAGCUUGUUGGUGGGGUGAUGGCUUACCAAGGCUUUGACGGGUAACCGGCCUGAGAGGGUGACCGGCCACAUUGGGACUGAGAUACGGCCCAG
rnacentral:rRNA from 1 species